rnacentral:RNase_MRP_RNA from 1 species
AGGCGUUUCAAAGACCUGCUAUCUAGGCUACAUGCUGAGGAUGUUUGUUCCUCCUGGGCUCCGUGCCCGCCUAGGGGAAAGUCCCCGGACCCCGGGCAGAGAGUGCCACAUGCUCCUUGAGCGUGUAGUAUCCUCUCUCGCAAGCUCACAAUCUCCCGCUAAGAAGCCCUUAGGGCCGAGCGAGUGUGCGCGGGAGGGGCUGCCUGUCACCCUCAUAGUAACGCAGGUAGUGCAGUCCGCUGCUGCACCAACACAACGGGGCUCACUCUGAGAACGCC